UACCCGAAUGGGGAAACCCAGUGUGAUUCGUCACACUAUCAUUAACUGAAUCCAUAGGUUAAUGAGGCGAACCGGGGGAACUGAAACAUCUAAGUACCCCGAGGAAAAGAAAUCAACCGAGAUUCCCCCAGUAGCGGCGAGCGAACGGGGAGGAGCCCAGAGCCUGAAUCAGCAUGUGUGUUAGUGGAAGCGUCUGGAAAGGCGCGCGAUACAGGGUGACAGCCCCGUACACAAAAGCGCAUGUGCUGUGAGCUCGAUGAGUAGGGCGGGACACGUGGUAUCCUGUCUGAAUAUGGGGGGACCAUCCUCCAAGGCUAAAUACUCCUGACUGACCGAUAGUGAACCAGUACCGUGAGGGAAAGGCGAAAAGAACCCCGGCGAGGGGAGUGAAAAAGAACCUGAAACCGUGUACGUACAAGCAGUGGGAGCACCCUUUGGGUGUGACUGCGUACCUUUUGUAUAAUGGGUCAGCGACUUAUAUUCUGUAGCAAGGUUAACCGAAUAGGGGAGCCGGAGGGAAACCGAGUCUUAACCGGGCGUUAAGUUGCAGGGUAUAGACCCGAAACCCGGUGAUCUAGCCAUGGGCAGGUUGAAGGUUGGGUAACACUAACUGGAGGACCGAACCGACUAAUGUUGAAAAAUUAGCGGAUGACCUGUGGCUGGGGGUGAAAGGCCAAUCAAACCGGGAGAUAGCUGGUUCUCCCCGAAAGCUAUUUAGGUAGCGCCUCGUGAAUUCAUCUCCGGGGGUAGAGCACUGUUUCGGCUAGGGGGCCAUCCCGGCUUACCAACCCGAUGCAAACUGCGAAUACCGGAGAAUGUUAUCACGGGAGACACACGGCGGGUGCUAACGUCCGUCGUGAAGAGGGAAACAACCCAGACCGCCAGCUAAGGUCCCAAAGUCAUGGUUAAGUGGGAAACGAUGUGGGAAGGCCCAGACAGCCAGGAUGUUGGCUUAGAAGCAGCCAUCAUUUAAAGAAAGCGUAAUAGCUCACUGGUCGAGUCGGCCUGCGCGGAAGAUGUAACGGGGCUAAACCAUGCACCGAAGCUGCGGCAGCGACACUGUGUGUUGUUGGGUAGGGGAGCGUUCUGUAAGCCUGUGAAGGUGUGUCGUGAGGCAUGCUGGAGGUAUCAGAAGUGCGAAUGCUGACAUAAGUAACGAUAAAGCGGGUGAAAAGCCCGCUCGCCGGAAGACCAAGGGUUCCUGUCCAACGUUAAUCGGGGCAGGGUGAGUCGACCCCUAAGGCGAGGCCGAAAGGCGUAGUCGAUGGGAAACGGGUUAAUAUUCCCGUACUUGGUGUUACUGCGAAGGGGGGACGGAGAAGGCUAUGUUGGCCGGGCGACGGUUGUCCCGGUUUAAGCGUGUAGGUGUGUGUUCCAGGUAAAUCCGGUUCACUUUAACACUGAGGCGUGACGACGAGGCACUACGGUGCUGAAGCAACAAAUGCCCUGCUUCCAGGAAAAGCCUCUAAGCAUCAGGUAACAUCAAAUCGUACCCCAAACCGACACAGGUGGUCAGGUAGAGAAUACCAAGGCGCUUGAGAGAACUCGGGUGAAGGAACUAGGCAAAAUGGUGCCGUAACUUCGGGAGAAGGCACGCUGACACGUAGGUGAAGUGAUUUACUCAUGGAGCUGAAGUCAGUCGAAGAUACCAGCUGGCUGCAACUGUUUAUUAAAAACACAGCACUGUGCAAACACGAAAGUGGACGUAUACGGUGUGACGCCUGCCCGGUGCCGGAAGGUUAAUUGAUGGGGUCAGCGCAAGCGAAGCUCCUGAUCGAAGCCCCGGUAAACGGCGGCCGUAACUAUAACGGUCCUAAGGUAGCGAAAUUCCUUGUCGGGUAAGUUCCGACCUGCACGAAUGGCGUAAUGAUGGCCAGGCUGUCUCCACCCGAGACUCAGUGAAAUUGAACUCGCUGUGAAGAUGCAGUGUACCCGCGGCAAGACGGAAAGACCCCGUGAACCUUUACUAUAGCUUGACACUGAACAUUGAGCCUUGAUGUGUAGGAUAGGUGGGAGGCUUUGAAGUGUGGACGCCAGUCUGCAUGGAGCCGACCUUGAAAUACCACCCUUUAAUGUUUGAUGUUCUAACGUGGACCCGUUACCCGGGUUGCGGACAGUGUCUGGUGGGUAGUUUGACUGGGGCGGUCUCCUCCUAAAGAGUAACGGAGGAGCACGAAGGUUGGCUAAUCCUGGUCGGACAUCAGGAGGUUAGUGCAAUGGCAUAAGCCAGCUUGACUGCGAGCGUGACGGCGCGAGCAGGUGCGAAAGCAGGUCAUAGUGAUCCGGUGGUUCUGAAUGGAAGGGCCAUCGCUCAACGGAUAAAAGGUACUCCGGGGAUAACAGGCUGAUACCGCCCAAGAGUUCAUAUCGACGGCGGUGUUUGGCACCUCGAUGUCGGCUCAUCACAUCCUGGGGCUGAAGUAGGUCCCAAGGGUAUGGCUGUUCGCCAUUUAAAGUGGUACGCGAGCUGGGUUUAGAACGUCGUGAGACAGUUCGGUCCCUAUCUGCCGUGGGCGCUGGAGAACUGAGGGGGGCUGCUCCUAGUACGAGAGGACCGGAGUGGACGCAUCACUGGUGUUCGGGUUGUCAUGCCAAUGGCACUGCCCGGUAGCUAAAUGCGGAAGAGAUAAGUGCUGAAAGCAUCUAAGCACGAAACUUGCCCCGA
rnacentral:rRNA from 1 species